GUUCCCAAUGAUGCUGUUCAGUUAACCAUGCUAAUACUGAUAUAACUAAAGAUUAUUCCUUUUAUUAUACUGAGGGAACU